UACGGAGGGUGCAAACGUUGCUCGGAAUUAUUGGGCGUAAAGCGCGUGUAGGCGGCCAUGCAAGUCGAGUGUGAAAGCCCUGGGCUCAACCCAGGAAGUGCGCUCGAAACUGCUUGGCUGGAGUACGGGAGAGGGUAACGGAAUUCCCGGUGUAGAGGUGAAAUUCGUAGAUAUCGGGAGGAACACCAGUGGCGAAGGCGGUUACCUGGACCGAUACUGACGCUGAGACGCGAAAGCGUGGGUAGCAAACAGGAUUAGAUACCCCAGUA
rnacentral:rRNA from 1 species